rnacentral:rRNA from 1 species
UACGUAGGGUGCGAGCGUUAAUCGGAAUUACUGGGCGUAAAGCGUGCGCAGGCGGUUUGCUAAGACCGAUGUGAAAUCCCCGGGCUUAACCUGGGAACUGCAUUGGUGACUGGCAGGCUAGAGUAUGGCAGAGGGGGGUAGAAUUCCACGUGUAGCAGUGAAAUGCGUAGAGAUGUGGAGGAAUACCGAUGGCGAAGGCAGCCCCCUGGGAUAACACUGACGCUCAUGCACGAAAGCGUGGGGAGCAAACAGG